rnacentral:rRNA from 1 species
GGAGCCUCCUUUGNGUAGUAACAUUUCGUCUCGCACUGGGAUCCGGAGGGACUCUUGCCGUAAAACCCCCCAAUUUUUCAAGGUUGACCUCGGAUCAGGUAGGAAUACCCGCUGAACUUAAGCAUAUCAAUAAGCGGAGGAAAGGAAACCAACAGGGAUUGCCUCAGUAACGGCGAGUGAAGCGGCAACAGCUCAAAUUUGAAAUCUGGCCCCAGGCCCGAGUUGUAAUUUGCAGAGGAUGCUUUUGGCGCGGUGCCUUCCGAGUUCCCUGGAACGGGACGCCAUAGAGGGUGAGAGCCCCGUACGGUUGGACACCAAGCCUUUGUAAAGCUCCUUCGACGAGUCGAGUAGUUUGGGAAUGCUGCUCAAAAUGGGAGGUAUAUUUCUUCUAAAGCUAAAUAUUGGCCAGAGACCGAUAGCGCACAAGUAGAGUGAUCGAAAGAUGAAAAGCACUUUGAAAAGAGGGUUAAACAGCACGUGAAAUUGUUAAAAGGGAAGCGCUUAUGACCAGACUUGCGCCCGGUGAAUCACCCAGCUCUCG